GUGGGGAAUAUUGCACAAUGGGCGCAAGCCUGAUGCAGCAACGCCGCGUGAGGGACGACGGCCUUCGGGUUGUAAACCUCUUUUAGUAGGGAAGAAGCGAAAGUGACGGUACCUGCAGAAAAAGCACCGGCUAACUACGUGCCAGCAGCCGCGGUAAUACGUAGGGUGCAAGCGUUAUCCGGAAUUAUUGGGCGUAAAGAGCUCGUAGGCGGUUUGUCGCGUCUGCUGUGAAAACUGGAGGCUCAACCUCCAGCCUGCAGUGGGUACGGGCAGACUAGAGUGCGGUAGGGGAGAUUGGAAUUCCUGGUGUAGCGGUGGAAUGCGCAGAUAUCAGGAGGAACACCAAUGGCGAAGGCAGAUCUCUGGGCCGUAACUGACGCUGAGGAGCGAAAGCAUGGGGAGCGA
rnacentral:rRNA from 1 species